rnacentral:rRNA from 1 species
GACGAACGCUGGCGGCGUGCCUAAUACAUGCAAGUAGAACGCUGAAGGAGGAGCUUGCUCUUCUUGGAUGAGUUGCGAACGGGUGAGUAACGCGUAGGUAACCUGCCUGGUAGCGGGGGAUAACUAUUGGAAACGAUAGCUAAUACCGCAUAAUAGUAGAUGUUGCAUGACAUUUGCUUAAAAGGUGCAAUUGCAUCACUACCAGAUGGACCUGCGUUGUAUUAGCUAGUUGGUGAGGUAACGGCUCACCAAGGCAACGAUACAUAGCCGACCUGAGAGGGUGAUCGGCCACACUGGGACUGAGACACGGCCCAGACUCCUACGGGAGGCAGCAGUAGGGAAUCUUCGGCAAUGGACGGAAGUCUGACCGAGCAACGCCGCGUGAGUGAAGAAGGUUUUCGGAUCGUAAAGCUCUGUUGUAAGAGAAGAACGAGUGUGAGAGUGGAAAGUUCACACUGUGACGGUAUCUUACCAGAAAGAGACGGCUAACUACGUG